UGGAGCAUGUGGUUUAAUUCGAUGCAACGCGAAAAACCUUACCUACCCUUGACAUCCUCGGAACUUGUCAGAGAUGAUUUGGUGCCUUCGGGAACCGAGUGACAGGUGCUGCAUGGCUGUCGUCAGCUCGUGUCGUGAGAUGUUGGGUUAAGUCCCGUAACGAGCGCAACCCUCGUCCUUAGUUGCCAGCGAGUCAAGUCGGGAACUCUAAGGAGACUGCCGGUGAUAAACCGGAGGAAGGUGGGGAUGAUGUCAAGUCAUCAUGGCCCUUACGGGUAGGGCUACACACGUGCUACAAUGGGCAGUACAAAGGGUUGCCAAGCCGCGAGGUGGAGCUAAUCCCAGAAAACUGCUCGUAGUCCGGAUUGGAGUCUGCAACUCGACUCCAUGAAGUUGGAAUCGCUAGUAAUCGCGAAUCAGCAUGUCG
rnacentral:rRNA from 1 species